rnacentral:rRNA from 1 species
AUUGAACGCUGGCGGCAGGCUUAACACAUGCAAGUCGAGCGAGCGGCGGACGGGUGAGUAAUGUCUGGGAAAAUGCCUGAUGGAGGGGGAUAACUACUGGAAACGGUAGCUAAUACCGCAUACCAUCAGAUGUUCCCAGAUGGGAUUAGCUAGUAGGUGGGGGAAUGGCUCACCAAGGCGACUAUCCCUAGCUGGUCUGAGAGGAUGAGAAUCCACACUGGAAGUGAGACACGGCCCAGACUCCUGCGUGAGGCAGUAGUGGGGAAGAAUGCACAAUGGGCGGAAGCCUAAUGCAGCCAUGCAGAGUGUAUGAAGAAGGCCUUCGGGUUGUAAAGUACUUUCAGUCGGGAGGCGUUACCGACAGAAGAAGCACCGGCUAACUCCGUGCCAGCAGCCGCGGUAAUAC